CCCCCAUAGGCCUGAGGUACUGGAAGGUCCUCAGGCCGAAAGGGGCUCUGCCCGCCCGAGGAUGGGCCGGCGGCCGAUUAGGUAGUUGGUGGGGUAACGGCCCACCAAGCCGAAGAUCGGUACGGGCCAUGAGAGUGGGAGCCCGGAGAUGGGCACUGAGACACGGGUCCAGGCCCUACGGGGCGCAGCAGGCGCGAAACCUCCGCAAUGCGGGCAACCGCGACGGGGGGACCCCCAGUGCCGUGGCAACGCCACGGCUUUUCCGGAGUGUAAAAAGCUCCGGGAAUAAGGGCUGGGCAAGGCCGGUGGCAGCCGCCGCGGUAAUACCGGCGGCCCGAGUGGUGGCCGCUAUUAUUGGGCCUAAAGCGUCCGUAGCCGGGCCCGUAAGUCCCUGGCGAAAUCCCACGGCUCAACCGUGGGGCUUGCUGGGGAUACUGCGGGCCUUGGGACCGGGAGAGGCCGGGGGUACCCCUGGGGUAGGGGUGAAAUCCUAUAAUCCCAGGGGGACCGCCAGUGGCGAAGGCGCCCGGCUGGAACGGGUCCGACGGUGAGGGACGAAGGCCAGGGGAGCGAACCGGAUUAGAUACCCGGGUAGUCCUGGCUGUAAAGGAUGCGGGCUAGGUGUCGGGCGAGCUUCGAGCUCG
rnacentral:rRNA from 1 species